rnacentral:rRNA from 1 species
AACGAACGCUGGCGGCAGGCCUAACACAUGCAAGUCGAGCGAGGACUUCGGUCCUAGCGGCGGACGGGUGAGUAACGCGUGGGAACGUGCCCUUUGCUUCGGAAUAGCCCUGGGAAACUGGGAGUAAUACCGGAUGAGCCCUUUGGGGGAAAGAUUUAUCGGCGAAGGAUCGGCCCGCGUUGGAUUAGGUAGUUGGUGGGGUAAUGGCCUACCAAGCCGACGAUCCAUAGCUGGUUUGAGAGGAUGAUCAGCCACACUGGGACUGAGACACGGCCCAGACUCCUACGGGAGGCAGCAGUGGGGAAUCUUAGACAAUGGGGGAGACCCUGAUCUAGCCAUGCCGCGUGAGCGAUGAAGGCCUUAGGGUUGUAAAGCUCUUUCAGCUGGGAAGAUAAUGACGGUACCAGCAGAAGAAGCCCCGGCUAACUCCGUG